GACGUAGGGCGCGAGCGUUGUCCGGAUUUAUUGGGCGUAAAGAGCUCGUAGGCGGCUCGUUGCGUCGGCUGUGAAAACCCGCAGCUCAACUGUGGGCUUGCAGCCGAUACGGGGCGGGCUGGAGUUCGGUAGGGGAGACGUGGAAUUCCUGGUGUAGCGGUGAAAUGCGCAGAUAUCAGGAGGAACACCGGUGGCGAAGGCGGGUCUCUGGGCCGAUACUGACGCUGAGGAGCGAAAGCGUGGGGAGCAAACAGG
rnacentral:rRNA from 1 species